AUUGAACGCUGGCGGCAGGCUUAACACAUGCAAGUCGAGCGAGCGGCGGACGGGUGAGUAACGUCUGGGAAACUGCCUGCGGGAGGGGGAUACAUACUGGAAACGGUAGCUAAUACCGCAUACCAUCAGAUGUGCCCAGAUGGGAUUAGCUAGUAGGUGGGGUAAUGGCUCACCACGGCGACGAUCCCUAGCUGGUCUGAGAGGAUGACCAGCCACACUGGCACUGCGACACGGGCCAGACUCCUACGUGAGGCAGCAGUGGGGAAUAUUGCACAAUGGGCGCAAGCCUGACCCAGCCAUGCCGCGUGUGUGAAGAAGGCCUGCGGGUCGUAAAGCACUUUCAGCUAGGAGGCGUUACUCACAGAAGAAGCCCCGGCUAACUCCGUGCCAGCAGCCGCGGUAAUAC
rnacentral:rRNA from 1 species